CGUAACAAGGUUUCCGUAGGUGAACCUGCGGAAGGAUCAUUGUCCAA
rnacentral:rRNA from 1 species